CUACUACUCCCUUCGUCCGGAAAUACUUGUCGGAGAAAUGAAUAAAAAUGGAUGUAUCUAGUACUAAAAUACGUCUACAUACAUCCAUGUCUCCGACAAGUAUUUUCGGACGAAGGGGGUACUAU
rfam:Hordeum vulgare subsp. vulgare, WGS project CAJW01000000 data, contig: morex_contig_49177